GAACUUAAGCAUAUCAAUAAGCGGAGGAAAAGAAACUAACAAGGAUUCCCCUAGUAACUGCGAGUGAAGCGGGAAAAGCUCAAAUUUAAAAUCUGGCGUGCCUCUGGUCGUCCGAGUUGUAGUUUAGAGAAGCGUUUUCUGUGUUGGACCGUGUAUAAGUCUCUUGGAACAGGGCGUCAUAGAGGGUGAGAAUCCCGUCUUUGACACGGACUACCAAUGCUUUGUGAUACGCUCUCAAAGAGUCGAGUUGUUUGGGAAUGCAGCUCAAAAUGGGUGGUAAAUUCCAUCUAAAGCUAAAUAUAGGCGAGAGACCGAUAGCGAACAAGUACCGUGAGGGAAAGAUGAAAAGCACUUUGGAAAGAGAGUUAAACAGUACGUGAAAUUGCUGAAAGGGAAACGCUUGAAGUCAGUCACGUCUGCCAGGACUCAGCCUUGCUUCUGCUUGGUGUACUUUCUGGUUGGAUGGGCCAACAUCGAUUUCGACCGUUGGAGAAAGGCUUUGGGAAUGUGGCACCUUCGGGUGUGUUAUAGCCCUUUGUCGUAUACAAUGGUUGGGAUCGAGGACUGCAGCAUGCCUUCAUGGCCGGGGUUCGCCCACGUACAUGCUUAGGAUGUUGGCAUAAUGGCUUUAAGCGACCCGUCUUGAAACACGGACCAAGGAGUCUAACAUGCCUGCGAGUGUUUGGGUGGAAAACCCAUGCGCGUAAUGAAAGUGAUAGCUGAGAUCCUCUCAUCAGGAGCAUCAGCGCCUGGACUUGAUCUACGGAGACGGUUCUACGGUAGAGCAUGUAUGUUGGGACCCGAAA
rnacentral:rRNA from 1 species